rnacentral:rRNA from 1 species
AUUGAACGCUGGCGGCAGGCCUAACACAUGCAAGUCGAACGAGUGGCGGACGGGUGAGUAAUGUCUGGGAAACGGCCUGCUGGAGGGGGAUAACUACUGGAAACGGUAGCUACUACCGCAUAACAUAGGAUGUGCCCAGAGGGGAUUAGCUAGUAGGUGGGGUAAAGGCUCACCUUGGCGACGAUCCCUAGCUGGUCGGAGAGGAUGACCAGCCACACUGGAACGAAGACACGGUCCAGACUCCGACGAGAGGCAGGCGUGGGGAAUAUUGCACAAUGGGCGCAAGCCUGAUGCAGCCAUGCCGCGUGUAUGAAGAAGGCCUUCGUGUUGUAAAGUACUUUCAGCGGUGAGGCGUUACCCGCAGAAGAAGCACCGGCUAACUCCGUGCCAGCAGCCGCGGUAAUUC